rnacentral:rRNA from 1 species
AUUGAACGCUGGCGGCAUGCCUUACACAUGCAAGUCGAACGGCAGCACGGGAGCAAUCCUGGUGGCGAGUGGCGAACGGGUGAGUAAUAUAUCGGAACGUGCCCAGUCGUGGGGGAUAACGUAGCGAAAGUUACGCUAAUACCGCAUACGAUCUAUGGAUGAAAGCGGGGGAUCGCAAGACCUCGCGCGAUUGGAGCGGCCGAUAUCAGAUUAGGUAGUUGGUGGGGUAAAGGCUCACCAAGCCGACGAUCUGUAGCUGGUCUGAGAGGACGACCAGCCACACUGGGACUGAGACACGGCCCAGACUCCUACGGGAGGCAGCAGUGGGGAAUUUUGGACAAUGGGCGCAAGCCUGAUCCAGCAAUGCCGCGUGCAGGAAGAAGGCCUUCGGUU